rnacentral:rRNA from 1 species
AUUGAACGCUGGCGGCAUGCCUUACACAUGCAAGUCGAACGGCAGCACGGGAGCAAUCCUGGUGGCGAGUGGCGAACGGGUGAGUAAUAUAUCGGAACGUGCCCAGUCGUGGGGAUAACGUAGCGAAAGCUACGCUAAUACCGCAUACGAUCUAUGGAUGAAAGCGGGGGAUCGCAAGACCUCGCGCGAUUGGAGCGGCCGAUAUCAGAUUAGGUAGUUGGUGAGGUAAAGGCUCACCAAGCCGACGAUCUGUAGCUGGUCUGAGAGGACGACCAGCCACACUGGGACUGAGACACGGCCCAGACUCCUACGGGAGGCAGCAGUGGGGAAUUUUGGGACAAUGGCGCAAGCCUGAUCCAGCAAUGCCGCGUGCAGGAUGAAGGCCUUCGGUU